CUCUGAUAAACAUAUCUUCCGAAAUUCCUCUGGCACGUACCAGAUAAAAAUCUCAUGAAUCUUGGCACUCGAAAGACCUUUCCUGAAUAACAAAACAAUUGUUCGGAUACUAUGUAGGUUUACAGUUUGACACAAAUCAUCGAACGAUCAGAUUUGGUUUCCUUCACAAAAGAUGGAAGAUGAACCGGAUUUGACUUUUAUAGGAACUUCUUUGUUGGUUCUAGUUGUAGCUUCGAUAUUGUUUAUAGUUGGAUUUUCGACGCCUUACUUUAGUGAGACUACUCAAGAUACAUAUCGAACCUACACCGGGUUAUGGAAACAUUGCCUUGAUCGCAUGGGUACAAAUGAAAUGGUAUGUGGGGAAACAGUCAAUAAUGUUACAGAAGCAAAAGAUUUGUUAAAAGUAUGUAAAGCCAUGCUUAUACUUGGACUCCUUGCUAUCUUAACAUCGAUAUUUUGUGUUGCAUUCAGUUUGUGUUUAAGAUGUAAGCCCUAUGAAAGAAGAAUAUUACGAAUUUGUGGUAUUAUGACUACAAUUUUUGCUGUGGUGUUUAUUUUUGUAGGAAUCGCUGUAUAUCCUGAUAUUGCACAAGACGUAGUUCCGGGAGAUCUUGAAACAUAUUAUGGUUCCUCAUUUACAUUAUGCGUGAUAGCAAUGUGUCUCACUAGUUUAGCCGCCAUCUUCCAGAUAAUGGACCUCAUAUAUAGAGUGUUUGUGCUGGAAAGAAAGAAGAACCGUAAACCCCUGAUUACUCCUAACUAAUAUUAUUUGCUGGAUCUUUUGUUUUGAAUAAGUUGAAUUAUUCUGUUUGAUCUAAUUAAAGUGUCACCAAUCAUAUGUCGGACAGCAUAACAAUGUAUGAAUAGGUUAUGAUUUUGCUUUGGGGUAAGAAUUUUCCGCAUUAAUUCAAUAUACGAAAGGCAUUUUAAAGCCCCAGUUGCACGUCCAUAUCAAAACUUGUAUGUUCAGCCCCCAUCCCACGAGUUAUAAGAUAUAAAUACUAUGCAGAAAAAAGACUGGUUACACAAACAUAUAUACAAUUCA